GACGGAGAGACCAGGUAGAGGACGGAGAGACCAGGUAGAGGACGGAGAGACCAGGUAGAGGACAGAGAGACCAGGUAGAGGACGGAGAGACCAGGUAGAGGACGGAGAGACCAGGUAGAGGACAGAGAGACCAGGUAGAGGACAGAGAGACCAGGUAGAGGACAGAGAGACCAGGUAGAGGACAGAGAGACCAGGUAGAGGACAGAGAGACCAGGUAGAGGACAGAGAGACCAGGUAGAGGACAGAGAGACCAGGUAGAGGACAGAGAGACCAGGUAGAGGACAGAGAGGUGUGGAUAGACCAGGUAGAGGACAGAGAGACCAGGUAGAGGACAGAGAGACCAGGUAGAGGACAGAGAGACCAGGUAGAGGACAGAGAGACCAGGUAGAGGACAGAGAGACCAGGUAGAGGACAGAGAGGUGUGGAUAGACCAGGUAGAGGACAGAGAGACCAGGUAGAGGACAGAGAGACCAGGUAGAGGACAGAGAGACCAGGUAGAGGACAGAGAGACCAGGUAGAGGACAGAGAGACCAGGUAGAGGACAGAGAGACCAGGUAGAGGACAGAGAGACCAGGUAGAGGACAGAGAGGUGUGGAUAGACCAGGUAGAGGACAGAGAGACCAGGUAGAGGACAGAGAGACCAGGUAGAGGACAGAGAGGUGUGGAUAGACCAGGUAGAGGACAGAGAGACCAGGUAGAGGACAGAGAGACCAGGUAGAGGACAGAGAGACCAGGUAGAGGACAGAGAGACCAGGUAGAGGACAGAGAGACCAGGUAGAGGACAGAGAGACCAGGUAGAGGACAGAGAGACCAGGUAGAGGACAGAGAGACCAGGUAGAGGACAGAGAGACCAGGUAGAGGACAGAGAGACCAGGUAGAGGACAGAGAGACCAGGUAGAGGACAGAGAGGUGUGGAUAGACCAGGUAGAGGAGCAGUCCAUCUCGUCAGUGGAACAGAACAGAGUCAUGAAUCAGGUUCAGAGACGUUGGAGGAAACGGCAGAAAAUAUUUUCUCAUCAAAAUAAAAAGGGAAAGUAAGAAUUGGGCGUUGAAAUAACUGUGUAUUAAAACCUAGUUUACGAUAGGAAGUGAUGUCAUUUUACAGUCCUCAGUUAGCACUGUAGUGCAGGAGGUUGAGUUCUGAUCACGAUGUGUCUGUAUAGCAUCAUAUUUUGUGU